GGUACCCCAUCUAAGUACUAACCGCGCCCGACGCUGCUUAAUUUCGGUGAUCGGACGAGAGCCGAUGUAUUCAGCGUAGUAUGGUCGUUGGC
rnacentral:rRNA from 1 species